rnacentral:rRNA from 1 species
CCUACGGGAGGCAGCAGUGAGGAAUAUUGGUCAAUGGGCGCAAGCCUGAACCAGCCAAGUCGCGUGAGGGAUGACGGUCCUAUGGAUUGUAAACCUCUUUUGUCGGGGAGCAAGGCCCGCCACGUGUGGCGGGAAGGAGAGUACCCGAAGAAAAAGCAUCGGCUAACUUCGUGCCAGCAGCCGCGGUAAUACGGAGGAUGCGAGCUUUAUCCGGAUUUAUUGGGGUUAAAGGGUGCGUAGGCGGAAGGUUAAGUCAGCGGUAAAAUGUCGGUGCUCAACACCGGCCUGCCGUUGAAACUGGUCUUCUUGAGUGAGCGAGAAGUAUGCGGAAUGCGUGGUGUAGCGGUGAAAUGCAUAGAUAUCACGCAGAACUCCGAUUGCGAAGGCAGCAUACCGGCGCUCAACUGACGCUGAGGCACGAAAGCGUGGGGAUCGAACAGGAUUAGAUACCCCGGUAGUC